rnacentral:ncRNA from 1 species
UCGCCCACAAUGCCUUUCACGGGUUCAGCAAGGAUGCGGCCGGGUAGUAGUGUCUGCGGACACAUUCCAAGGCCGGUCGACGCAGGCGUCGAAGCUCUUCCAAGGGGCAUCUCUGCUGGAGUCGUGAUCGGCGUCGAUCGCGCCGGUUGUUGAUUCCUCCAAUGGUCUCCUCGCGCUAACCCCGUAGCGUGUGGUUUUUAGCGGGCUCCAGGCCCGCUUUUUUUU